rnacentral:SRP_RNA from 1 species
GUGCAAGACGGGGGGCUAGCGGUUCCUUGUAAUCUGCAAUCCGCUGUAGCAGAGUCUGACUUUUUUGAGGGCUUUUUGUGGUCGGAUGCUAUUGUGGCAUCUUGGUGUUGAUACAUUGGACCUAUAUGCAACGAUAAGUGCGCCGAACCUCGUCAGGUCGGGAACGAAGCAGCGAUACGCGUUUCUUUCGUGUGACAUAUAGCCAUCCGUGAGGAGCCAAGUGCCAUGGUGGGCACG